rfam:Brevibacillus laterosporus LMG 15441, complete genome.
GGCGGUGUAGCUCAGCUGGCUAGAGCGUUCGGUUCAUACCCGAAAGGUCGGGGGUUCGAUCCCCUCCGCCGCUA